rnacentral:rRNA from 1 species
CGGAGUUAGCCGGGGUUUCGUUUACCUGGUACCGUCAUUAUCUUCCCAGGCGAAGGUGCUUUACGACCCUAGGGCCUUCAUCACACACGCGGCAUGGCUAGAUCAGGGUUUCCCCCAUUGUCUAAGAUUCCCC